rnacentral:rRNA from 1 species
CAAUAGCGUAUAUUAAAGUUGUUGCAGUUAAAAAGCUUGUAGUUGGAUUUGUGGUUCGUCCCGCCGGCUGGGUCAUUGACUUUUGCUGUGCUGGUCGUCCAUCCUUGGGUGGAAUCUGUGUGGCAUUAGGUUGUCGCGCAGGGGAUGCCCAUCGUUUACUGUGAAAAAAUUAGAGUGUUCAAAGCAGGCUUAUGCCGUUGAAUAUAUUAGCAUGGAAUAAUGAUAUAGGACCUUGGUACUAUUUUGUUGGUUUGCGCACUGAGGUAAUGAUUAAUAGGGACAGUUGGGGGUAUUCGUAUUCCAUUGUAAGAGGUGAAAUUCUUGGAUUUUUGGAAGACGAACUACUGCGAAAGCAUUUACCAAGGAUGUUUUCAUUAA